UACGUAGGGUGCAAGCGUUAAUCGGAAUUACUGGGCGUAAAGCGUGCGCAGGCGGCUUUGCAAGACAGAUGUGAAAUCCCCGGGCUCAACCUGGGAACUGCAUUUGUGACUGCAAGGCUAGAGUACGGUAGAGGGGGAUGGAAUUCCGCGUGUAGCAGUGAAAUGCGUAGAUAUGCGGAGGAACACCGAUGGCGAAGGCAAUCCCCUGGACCUGUACUGACGCUCAUGCACGAAAGCGUGGGGAGCAAACAGG
rnacentral:rRNA from 1 species